GCAGCACGUCUUCAUUAUGCACUGCAUUGUGUCACUUAAUACAACUCUCUCAGAAUAUGACUCAGUCUGUAGAUCAGAGGAAGUGUACAAACACAGGAAGAGCUGAUAGUGUUUAAAGAAAGAGUUGUGAUCAUAUAAUGAAGACAAAAAAAAAUAGAUAAAGAGAAAAUGGCUGAUGAGUGUCAUCUGUGUCUGCUGGGACUGAUCUUUCUCUCUUCACUUCUCACAGCUCAAACUAAUUCAACAAUAUCAGUGAUUCCAGUCAACAGCACACACUCUCAGGAUCCCUCAACUACAAACACACACACAACUAAAGUUCAAACUAAUUCAACAACAUCAGUGAUUCCAGUCAACAGGACAAACUCUCAGGAACCCUCAACUACAAACACACACACAACUAAAGGUACA